GCGGAAUGGCGAUCCUGACCUUCUCUUUUGAAGGUAUCGACUUCCUUGUUAAAUGUCGACGCCUAUCCCCUUUUCUUGGGAAUGUCGAACAUGCUUUUCUGCAAAAUGUCGAAGGUUUUUUCUGAAAUGUCGAUGGAUCUUCUUGAAAUGUCGAUGGCCUCUAGUUGGGUUUUGGGGUUUUUCACGGACUGGGCCGUCGUGGGCCUGCCGGGCCCGUGGG
rnacentral:lncRNA from 1 species